AGGGGGAGGGGAGAGAGAGGAAGUGAGGUAAGAGAUUAGGUUUAAGAGUCCUCAUUCUUACUUCCUGGAGGAAGUAGCUAAUGCCUGUGAGCUGUAGGAGCCUCCAUCAAGGUUCUGGGGACUCAGAGAGUUGGUAUUCAGUUUACCAUAACACAGCCUGGAGGGAUUGCAUGUCUUGUGGAGAAACCCACGUUGGCACCCAGUGCAUCAGUAUGGCAUGGCAGUGGUAGAUUAACCAAGACUGAGGGAAGAUCUGGGGUGAGGGUGGCCUCAGGGGCAGCCUCCCAGAGUCCAGACUGCUGCAGAAAAGUCCCCUGGCGUUUACAACAAUCCACCCACCCCUACCCCCAUCCCGGGGACCAUUAGAAGUCUGGGGCUGGGAAGAAACACAAGCAAUCACAGGGACACAGGCAGGGCCCACAGCCACUGGGAAUGGGUUCCAGCAUGAGAUCCAGGAGCCAGUACAGUCCAGACCAGCAUAGACCUGCCACUCCUCAGCGAAAAGCAGCAAGAACAGAAGGCCACAUGCAGAGCAGGGCCAGGACUAGGGUCAGGCAAAGGAGGCACCUGGGACACAAAAUUUAAGGGUAGUGCAAAUACAGGGUCAGCCCUCACCCUAGCCCCCAUCCCCGUGCAAAGACAAGAGGGAUGAGACCCCCCCCUAAACGGAGGUCCCACAGACUCAAUGGUCUCCCUACAAUGCUGUUGGGAUUCUGACAUGUUCUCUGCAUCUGUCAUGGAAAAGGCUCAGAGCUGGGGACACCCCUGGAGCUGGUGGAAAGUGUUCUAUUCACUCCGUCUCCUGGAAGAAGGCUGUUUUCAAUCAGAAGAGACUGGGUUAUCAUUAACAGAGCCCUGAAAAUGAUGCACAGCCAGUCCUGUAUAAGCAGAAGGUGAGGAGCGGAGGGGGCUUGGCAGACACCGAGUGCCCACCCCCGUGGGCUAGCCGGCGACCAUCACCUUGGGAUCCCGUGCUUUCCCAGAAUCAUUCAAUACUCGUAAUUCCUCUUGAAUGAAGAGAGAGGACACGGAUGUGUAUGGCGCUGUCUUUAAGAAGGGAAAAUCGGGGCGCCUGGGUGACUCAGUCAUUAAGCAUCUGACUUCGGCUCGGGGCACGAUCUCACAGUUUGU
rnacentral:lncRNA from 1 species